CGUCAAUAAAGCUAGCAGUUUCAAUAAACCACAUCAAAAAGGUCUGAAGCCUUUCAUGAUAUUCUCGAAAGCCUCUACAUGUCAUGUCAGCCUAGGGAAAAAGCCAGGAAAAGCACCCUUCUGAACUCCAGUCACAGAGU